rfam:Aedes albopictus isolate Foshan contig66789, whole genome shotgun sequence.
AAAACGGCCCUUCUCAGGGCCACAAAUUUGUUUGAAUACAAAAAGA